rnacentral:rRNA from 1 species
GGCGGAGUUUUAAGUCAGUAGUGAAAUCCCAUCGCUUAACGAUGGAACUGCUAUUGAAACUGAUACUCUUGAAUAUAGUUGAAGUGGGCGGAAUACGGCAUGUAGCGGUGAAAUGCAUAGAUAUGCCGUGGAACACCGAUUGCGAAGGCAGCUCACUAAGCUACUAUUGACGCUAAGGUACGAAAGCGUGGGUAGCGAACAGGAUUAGAUACCCUGGUAGUCCACGCCGUAAACGGUGAUUACUCGGUGCUAGCGAUAUACUGUUAGUGCCUAAGCGAAAGUGAUAAGUAAUCCACCUGGGGAGUACGAUCGCAAGGUUGAAACUCAAAGGAAUUGACGGGGGCCCGCACAAGCGGUGGAGCAUGUGGUUUAAUUCGAUGAUACGCGAGGAACCUUACCUGGGCUUAAAUGCAUAAUGACAGGCUGAGAAAUCAGUUUUUCUUCGGACAGAAUGCAAGGUGCUGCAUGGCCGUCGUCAGCUCGUGCUGUGAGGUGUCGGGUUAAGUCCCAUAACGAGCGCAACCCCUAUUUCUAGUUGCCAGCACAUAAUGGUGGGGACUCUAGAGAAACUGCCCGCGCAAGCGGUGAGGAAGGUGGGGACGACGUCAGGUCAUCACGGCCCUUACGUCCAGGGCUACACACGUGCUACAAUGGUAGGGACAGAGGGCAGCCACUCGGUGACGAGGAGCUAAUCCUAAAACCCUAUCUCAGUUCGGAUUGAAAUCUGCAACUCGACUUCAUGAA